AGCUGCUGAGCUGUAUUUGAGGUGGAAACUGCUCCGGACCAAAUGUCAGCUCCCUACAGAUCCCUGGGGACAUGAGCAUCUUUGCCUACCACCUCGCUGUUCCUACUAUGGAGUUUGCAGUUGAACAGAAGAAAGCAGAAGAGAUCGGCAUUCUCUGAAGUCAUCCAAUAAUAAUGUGUACGCAUAUGCUCCCGGAUGGGCCCAGUUAUUCAGCUUAUGCCUGCCCAUACCAUAACCCCACCGCCACCAUGGG